CGGCGGGCAGAAGUCCACGCGGUAGUUGGUGCCGGCGGGGCAGGUGAAGGUGCUGGUCUAGUCGUCCUUGGCGUAGCUGUAGGCGUCAGGGCAUAGCCCCCUGAAGAACAUGGAGUAGCUCGGCAGACGUGCUCGAAGCCUCGAACUGGCCCCGGCAGCAGUUGGUGUCGCCGCGCCGAACUUGCCGCACGCACUAGCGCAGCCGCCUGCCGCCUGGGACACGGAGCUCGGGGAGGCACGUACCUCGCCGUGAUGUCCACGGCACCGCCGCCGUUGGUCGUCUGGAAGCUCACCGGCACGGCGGCACGUUGAACCCGUCGACGAGCGACAGGUCGAGGAAGUCGUCGCCGGCGCCGGGUCAGGAGCCGAGCGUGUAGCCGUGUACUCGGGCAGCGUGGUGGGCGGCUCACCGGAGGCGGAGCAGGACAGCACGCUGGCGCAGUCGCCCGUGACGCAGCGGCCGCGGCCGCUGCCGUCGAAGGAGCCGCCCGUGCGCUCCGCUCC
rnacentral:sRNA from 1 species